rnacentral:rRNA from 1 species
GAUGAACGCUGGCGGCGUGCCUAAUACAUGCAAGUCGAGCGAACAGACGAGGAGCUUGCUCCUCUGACGUUAGCGGCUGACGGGUGAGUAACACGUGGAUAACCUACCUAUAAGACUGGGAUAACUUCGGGAAACCGGAGCUAAUACCGGAUAAUAUAUUGAACCGCAUGGUUCAAUAGUGAAAGACGGUUUUGCUGUCACUUAUAGAUGGAUCCGCGCCGCAUUAGCUAGUUGGUAAGGUAACGGCUUACCAAGGCAACGAUGCGUAGCCGACCUGAGAGGGUGAUCGGCCACACUGGAACUGAGACACGGUCCAGACUCCUACGGGAGGCAGCAGUAGGGAAUCUUCCGCAAUGGGCGAAAGCUUGACGGAGCAACGCCGCGUGAGUGAUGAAGGUCUUCGGAUCGUAAAACUCUGUUAUUAGGGAAGAACAAAUGUGUAAGUAACUAUGCACGUCUUGACGGUACCUAAUCAGAAAGCCACGGCUAACUACGUG